UUGUUGUUUAUUUCAUCGAUGACGCUUGCUUGAAAUUAAAACACAAAGAAAAAUAAUCCCUGGCACCGUGGCAUAAGGAAGCUGCUUAGGCGCUGUUUGAAAGACCCACAUAGAACUUUGAUGCUGUUUAUCUACUGCAAAAGGCGAAUUCAAGCAGCGAUCUUUAGCGUGCCAAAAUGAGCUGCUUAACCGUAGAGUUGGCAACCAGAUUUACACACGUAAGUUGGCAACCGGCAUACCCGGGUAUUCCACAAGUUUUGAUGCAAAAAAUUAACGAUUUUCAUAGGUAAACAAUGCUUUCUAUAUUUUAAUGCUGUAAGCAAGUAAUGCCGACCAUAUAUUCUCUUCUAUUUCAUUUAUUCAUUAAGUUUUUUUUUUCAUUUUAAUAUAAAAAUAACGGUCAUAUUGAAAUUUGGAAUCGCUUGAAUUUGACUCGAAAAUAAGCACAAUACGAAAAGAGGAAGAAGAGAAACGUCAUUCUCCAUACAAAAUGUAUGGAAUACCCGGGUAUGCUGGUUGCCAACUUACGUGGUAAAGUUAAAAAAAAUCAAAAUAAAAUACUUACAGGCUGUUUAAAAUUACAACUUAUACACCAAAAAAUCACAAAUUAAAAGUUGGGAGGCUACGGAAAAUUUCAGGUCAAUAAAAGCAAUGAAUCAAAAGUUAUUGCAGUUCGAAGUUGAAAAAAAUACCCGGGUAUCUGGUUGCCAACUUAAAGGUUAUAUGGGUUUGUUCGAGUCGGAUGUCGUGUUCGAUUGGUGCAAGAGCGCCGCCUUACUUUUACCAAAAGCUACUGUGCAUUGGCGUCACAUCGUUGCCCCUCUUUUGGUAAAUAAAUCGGCUGAUCUAUCAUCAAUAUCGUAGAGAUAAAAACCUAUCUUCUUCGCUCUGCUACAACCUAUGAACAAUGCAUCGUCAAUUCACCGAAGCUUCUUCUGUACGCUGUUGCGGGACUGCAGGACAUCAUUGCAAAUGCGCUGAGAUUGCCCUGCUAAACAGCAAACAAAUUCAAAUGCUAACCAAAAUCGUUGUUGACAUUAAAAUGCAAAACGACGAGAUUAUUGAGUGGCUGCUUCAACGCGACCAAAAUCCAGUUCCGCAAGAAACGCCCGAAAUGAUACAGCCAACGCAAGAAAACGAGGAAAUUAUUACGUUGAUUGCAUCUAAAAAGGAGCUAAUUGAUUUCGAGCAGAAUCUAGGUUUAGAGGAUCAGUUUGAGGACGUGAAGCGUAAAUUGCAGGCCAAAAUGAAGGCCACGGCAACAAUGGAGCGACUUCACGAAGCUUUGUACCUUAUGUUCAAUAGAUUGUUUUUGGUUGAAUGUAGCUGGAGCGGUAGAGGAGUUACUGGACCGAAAAUAGCCUUUCGACGAUAUGUAAAUGUAUUGCGGCUUUUUGCUGACGUAGGGAAUGUAGAUGGCCAAAAAGUAGAUUUUGAAUCCCUUGAGAAUUUUUUUCAAAAAAAACUACGAAAUGCGAAAAACAGUGCCGUUGUAUCCGGCACAAUAAAAAGCGUUUCUCGUAGCUCAUUCUCACGGAAGUGCAAAGGACGCCCUAAGAAAAAAAUGAAUUAGAUAGGACAUAAUCAUUUAAUUACGUAAUGCAAAAAAUGCAAGAUUUCAACCCCCUCUCUCUAAGAACAGCUUUUUUAUUGAACGAGAUCAGUUUUUUUUGUGAUUUGAACUGUAUUAAGGGGCAUUCACAAUUUUUGAAACGAAACAAGAUACAAUUAUAUUGCCUUCUACAUAAGGAAAAGUUGUCCCAUACAACAGUCAAUUUCAAAAAAAAUCUGUUAAUCGUAUGCUCAGCGCCGUUUUGCAAUGUUCUUGCAUCAUCAUCAUCAGAAGCAUAUUUCUUACAGCUAUCUUCCUGGUCCUAUAUAAAUAUGUUAAUCUUUCCACUA